GGUGAGCUGGCCGAGUGGCCGAAGGCGCUCCCCUGCUAAGGGAGUAACGGCUUUAAAUCCGUUCGAGAGUUCGAAUCUCUCGCUCACCGCCA
rnacentral:tRNA from 2 species